rnacentral:rRNA from 1 species
CAGCAGCCGCGGUAAUACGUAGGUGGCAAGCGUUGUCCGGAAUUAUUGGGCGUAAAGCGCGCGCAGGCGGAUCAGUCAGUCUGUCUUAAAAGUUCGGGGCUUAACCCCGUGAUGGGAUGGAAACUGCUGAUCUAGAGUAUCGGAGAGGAAAGUGGAAUUCCUAGUGUAGCGGUGAAAUGCGUAGAUAUUAGGAAGAACACCAGUGGCGAAGGCGACUUUCUGGACGAAAACUGACGCUGAGGCGCGAAAGCCAGGGGAGCGAACGGGAUUAGAUACCCCAGUAGUCCCUGUCUCUUAUACC